GUUCUGUAAAUCUCUCUCACAUCGAAGUAGAUCUAUGUAUCAGCAUGAUAUAGGCUACCUGGGUUUACAGCUACUUUCUACCUCUGGUGAUUUUGGAUAGGUUACUUAAACCUCACAUCUCAGAUUUCUCAUCUGUCAAAUGGGGAACAAUGCCUACCUCUUGGGGCUCGUAGAGGAUUAAAUGAGCUAAUAAUGUAAGCCUCUUAGCACAUUGCCUGGAACUGGUGUUUGUUGGGUCAGUAUAUGUCAUUAUUAUUGUCUUCUAUUUUUCUUGCUGCUGCAUUAAAGACAUGUAUGUAUUUAAACUAUUUGGAGUCACUGGAAGGGGGAGCAUGUCCAACCUUAUUGUAGUCUUGAAAGAAUGUACCGUGCCUUCCUAAGAAAUGCAUGUUCUUAAAGGGAUGCCUAGGCACUCUUUGAAAUGUUAAGUAGGAUACGUUACACAUUUUCUACAUGAUUAAAAUAAUUUAUGCAUUUUAUAACUAAGCUGAAGUUUUCAAAUAAAAUUCAGCUAAACUGCUCCCACAACUGUAAUGGGCAAAGACAGUUGUGAUUGCCUAAAAUGUCACUAUUGUGCAAUGAUAUUUAAACCUUAUAUUAUAUAUCUUCAUCUUAAAUUCUACUUUGUGUAUUAGACAUCAGUUUAUAAGACCUGAAAAUUUCGAAGAGCAACAAUUCCCUACACAUGCCCCCAACAAUUAGAUUAGGGUGUUUAUUCCCAGCCAUUUUUUUUCUAUUGUAUGAAUAUCCAGAUGACACACAUACGUGUAAAUGAUCUGAUCAGUAACCAAGAGGAGGCCCACCAGAGGUCGGCCUAGUGCCAACAGCCUCCAAUCCAUCUCCAUGAAACCUUCGCAGAAAUGCUUUUGGAACGUUCUUGUGCUCUGCUCACCCAUGGCAAGGUACUGGUGGUACUACCUGCAAUUACCAGUCACCCUAAUGUCCUUUUUCACUGACUUUAAAACUUCCUGAAAGUUCAUUCUUCUAAAUGCUAAGGUUGGAGAAAUACAAGCAAAACCUUGACAAGCAGACGAGGAUGAAGGAAGCUUUCCUGGCCAUUACUUUCCCUGUGUCCUUGCAAAGGACAAGCCCACAGUCUCUUUACCAAUUCUCAAAAACACAUCCAUUAAUUCUCCAGAAAUGACCAGCUCUGCUCUCAUUGUCGACAGUCAGAAGAGCGUGCAACCGAGAGAGAUCCCUCUCCUGAAACAUAAAUAGAUGGGAUGAUGAAAGCAGGUUUGUUACAACAACUGCCCUUUGUCACUGAGGGAAUCCCAUCUGUGCACCACCUACUUGGUGGGCUUUUUCUUUACCUGCUUAUUGUAGUGCAAAUUUUGCUUUGCUCUUUCCACAAGGACCAGGCCAGGAUGCAGACAGGAGAAGCCGGCUGAAGUCUUUGAAAGCACUAUUGACUUGGUUCAGAGGGGUGAGCAGACCAGAGCAUUAUUACACUAUUGAAUAUCUUAGGCUUUUAUGUUGCCCGUGUGAGUACGGUUUUGCUUUGCAAGAAACCUAGCCCCUCUGAAAAAUAUGAGAGAAAAUGUAGUAAUAAGAGUAAUCCUCCCUGGAAUCAGUCUUCUUUUAAAGAACUCUAAGAGACAAAGCCACCGUGAGGGGGGACAGGAGACUUGAGCUGAGAGUGGUUCCCUCAGGUGGUCAGAGGAGAAUUCCAUGAGAUGAUUGACUGAUUGAUGAAUAGACCGAUCAAAUCAUCCUCCUCUUGGCAGCUGGAGAAAAACGGGAGAGAAAGGAAGAGGGAAAAUUCCUAGUGGCAGUGUGUUUUUCACUUGUAAACUCUUACAUUCUUGGGGUUUAUAUAUUAUACUUCCACAGCUAAGGACACGCUGGGCAUAUUUUCUUCUCUGAGUACAUUAGAAUGCUUAUUAGAGAGCAAGAGCCUUGUAAUUGCAUUGUAGAAGCUUUCUGGGCUCCAGACUCCAAAGGAAGCGUCAGGGAGGGAGUUGAGUUGUGAUGUGGAGAAGACAGGCUUGUAUGAACAGGAGACCACAGUAGAAUUUGACCACAGUUCAAAUCAAUGGAUUUAUGAGGUUAGAAACCUGUCUUUUUAAAUAACAGAGGUGUGAAAAUGAUGCCGUUGCUCAACUGACUAGAUCAGUGAAAUUCAGUUGGGAAUAAAGCCGGGAAAAGUAUAGAAAAUCAGCCAUGUAAUCAUGCUGGGAACCUCUUAUUUCGCUCAGGAUCUUAGGGAAAUUUUAUUUGCAUGACAUGUGAAUUUAAAAAUACUGCUAAGUUUCGUGAGAGCUUCCUCCAUCUGGUCAUGUGAGAAACCUCGUGGACAGGAAUGGACUGAGCUUAGUGGGCAUGAACUUAAAGUGGAAAAAAUAGGACAUUGUUUACAACCACAUGGCAUUUCAUCAAAGGCUAUUUUCAUUUUAAGUUCUUGACCACUAUUUAGAACCAAAUUCAAUAUGUUUUCCUCCCUUAUAGUGGUUGUACCCUCAAAGCUACAGAAAAGGAUACUUGAGACCCAACAAAUCCAAUAUGGAACCCAGCAUCUUCCCUUCAGAUAUUUCUACCUCACCAUCCAUUAGUUGCUCUUGAACAUAGAAGUCAGCCUUGACUCCCUUCUCCCAGUCCCUCCCCACUUCCAGGUCCCAUCUUUUCAGUUUUCAUUUUCUGUCCUAUUCCUCUCUACCACACAGACGCCAUGUUGGUGCCAUGCCUAGUUGGGACAGUGCAGCAGCCGCCCUGCUUCCAUCUAACUGGACAUCUAGAGGACAGCACCUCUGCUUCCAUCUAUCUGACUCCAACUAAUCCUCCACAUGGCUCAGAAGCCCUUCUAAACUAAUGAAUGCUCGUGUCUGGGCUUCCCCACCUUUCUCCUUCAUUUUCUUUUGGAGUGUAGAGCCCAUAAAGAUUCCAUUUUUUGUAUUAUCCUCCUUUCUGCAAGCCCCUAAUUGAAUGCCAAUUACAAUUCAACUAUGUGGACAAGCUAUCGUUACUAAAGUUGUUGUGUUAUGCUCAAAGCAGCAGGUCUUCCAGCUUUCCCUUUGAGAGAUUUACCUCUUUCACACAAAGCUCAUAUCCCUUCAGCAGCUCCCUGAACUUAUCUUAUCACUUAUCACCACUCUAUGCCUCCCUUUCUGUUCCAGCCUCUCCAGUUCAGAAUCCAGCAUCCCUUCCCCAAAACACCCACCUUUGUAUUACAACCUUCUCCAAAUCACCUCAGCAAAACAAAAGCAUUCUAGCGAGACAAACUAUACUUAUGGCUGUUCCAGAAACAUACUUUUGGAAGACUUCAAGUCAACCCAAACACACAGCUGAUCAUCGUACUUGAGAAUCCCGACAACACUCCAACGACCUUCUCCAUGCCCCUCUUGCUCUAAACGAUUUCAGAAGGAAAGAGAGAAAUCAUUAGGCAAAACCAAUAAGUGAAGAGACAAUGACUGAGAAGUUUCCAGAACUAAUUAAAAAAACCCAAACCAUAAAUUCAAGAAGUUCAAUGAGUAAAAAGAAAUCUACAUCUAGACUGUAUAACUAAAUUUUACGCUCCAUGAAAAUAUGUUUCAAGAAUAAGUGCAAAAUAUAUUUUCAGAGUAACCAAAAAUAAGAGAGUUUGCCAACAGACCCAUGCUAAAGGGAAUUCUAAAAGAUGUAUUUCAGGCAGAAGAAAAGUGAUCUUUGAUGAAAUAUCUGACGUGACAUAGAAGUAAAAAUCACAAGCAGUUGCCAAAAUGUGGGUAAGUCUAAAUAAACUUUGAUUAUGUAAAAUAACAGUUUGGGGUUUACUAAAAGCAAGAUAAAACAGAAUGCCCAACAACAGUAUAUACCUUAGAAAGGGGUGAUUGGAGUCAAAAUAUUGAAUCAUUCAGAUUAGGCUGGGUUAGCCAUAGUAAGCAAUCCUGAAAUGUCACUGACUGAACACAAUGAAGGUUUAUUUUCUCUUAUACUGCUUAUCCCACAGAGGUUGGCAUUCCACACUCAUUUAACCAUGAACAUCCAAGGACCCAGGGUAAUGGAGUUUCCAUCUUGACCUAUCUUCCCAAAUUCAUAAUGGCAGAGGGAAAAGAAUAAGAGAAUCAUACAUUGGUUCUUAAUCACAUAUGACCUCCUUUACCACUUAUUGGCCAAAGCAAGUCCCUUGGCCAUAUCUACAUUCAAGGCUUGGAGUGGGGAAGGGCAAUCCUACUAUGAGAUUACGAGGAAGAGUACUGGACAGUUUGUGACCAGCCCUAAUGACAGUGUCUGUUAGGAACAGGAUAACAGGAUUUCAUCAGAGAAGAUUUGUGUCAGUUUCUACAAACACGAUAGGACUUGAUGGGGAAACAACUAAGAGAAGAGUUACAAAGUUACUUCCAUUCUUGAGGAGGGAAAAAAACUGGAUGAGAAAAAUAAUCAAUCCAAAUAAGACCAAAAAAAGACAGGAAAAUAAAAAGAAAAGUCUGAAAAAAUAAAAACCACAAAAUAAGGCAGUAGGUAUAAAUGUAAACUUAUCAGUUAUGACAAGUGUAAAUGGAUUGAAAGCUGCCACUAAAACACAAAAGAUUAUUAGGAUGAUUAAAAAAAAUCUAGCUAUAUAUUGUUUACAAGAGAUGUAUCAAAAACACAGGACAUGAAGAGGCUGAAAGUUAGAGGAUGAAAAAAAUAUAUCAGCUAAAUUCUAAGCAAAAGAAAGCAAGUAUUUCUGUAUUAAUAUCAGACAAAACAGACUUAAGACAAAAAGAUUUACUAGAGAUAAUGAUAAAAGGUUUAAUUUGUCAAUAUUU
ensembl:lncRNA